rnacentral:misc_RNA from 1 species
UGCCUUCUGCGAUGUUGAGCAAAGAGUGGCUUCCUCCUAUACUUGACAACACAAGAAGGUUUGUAGAAGCUAAAGGUAUUAUAGUAAAUACGUUCUUAGAGCUGGAAUCACAUGCGAUUGAAUCAUUGAAAUGCCUCCUGUUUACCCUGUUGGACCCAUUUUGGAUGUGGGGUUGGAUGAAAGAAACACUCACCAAGAAAUCAUACAAUGGCUUGACGAUCAGCCGCCA